UACGUAGGUGGCAAGCGUUAUCCGGAAUUAUUGGGCGUAAAGCGCGCGCAGGUGGUUUCUUAAGUCCGUUGUGAAAUCCCCGAGCUCAACUUGGGAAUUGCAAUGGAUACUGGCAAGCUGGAGUAUGGUAGAGGAAGGUGGAAUUCCCGGUGUAGCAGUGAAAUGCGUAGAGAUCGGGAGGAACACCAGUGGCGAAGGCGGCCUUCUGGACCAAUACUGACGCUCAUGCACGAAAGCGUGGGGAGCAAACAGG
rnacentral:rRNA from 1 species